AGGACAUCUGGCCUCUGGGUUGCAGCGCAAUGCUCACUAACAGAAGCUGACUCAUUUGUGUUAUGUCUCUGAUCUUUUCCAAGGACAUCUGGCCCCUGGGUUGCAGCGUGAUGCUCACUAACAGAAGCUGACUCAGUUGUGUUUUCUGGUUUUGGGGAAUAUCUUUAAUCACCACAUGAAUGUUUAUAAACUGUUGGGGCUAAACAUGAAACUCACUCUUCAGGUGCCGUCUCCACCUAGCCACCGUGUACAUUUUCUUUCUCUCUCUUGCAGCUGUUCUCUUCCUACGGACUGAAUGAAAAAUAAAAGGAAGUCAUUUCUGCAUGUGUCACAGAGGCAUCCUUUGGUUCUAAAGGAAGCUAAGUUGGAUUCCACAAGCCCAUGGUCCUUAUAGCAUGUGAAUAGGAUUCAGUCACGGACGAGAAGGAAGAGGUUCAGGAGAGACUGUAAUCGCCCUGUCCAGGCUAACCCUCCAGCUGUGCAGGUGACAAGCUUGCCUGUGUUUGUGUUGUGAGUAUCAAGUCCAAAAAGAAGCUCUUCAAACCAUCUGGGAAGAGAAAACAGCAUGACAAGGAAAGGUGUAUUUGUCUGAUUCUAGGAAUCAAUAUAAACAUCCAUGAUAACCCCAUCUAAUUUUUAAAUGUAUGAUUUGGAUGAAACAAGAGAAGACACUGAUUGUUGCUGAGUCCCUGCUGUAGUCCUGACACAGCUGGAGAUGCCCUGCUCUCCUUAUUUUCUUGAUGCUCAUGAGGACCCUGAUGUCUAAGGAAGAAGGUUCUCGUCCAGGUCUGCCCCUGGUGUGUCACGUGCCAGCCUUGUCAAUGCACACGAGAACCUGACAGGGUGAGUGUUAUAACCCAAUCAUAGGAAAGGAAACUGGCUCUAAAGAAAGUGUUUGGCAUCUUGCCCAAGUUCUGACACUUAGCAGAGGCCUGAGUUUAAAUGCAGCCUCGUCUUGCUCUUUGACAGCCUCAGCACCACAUGCUCUGGGUGGCCCACGCAGUGAGUCACUGACAGCCCUCGUGGUUGGCCCGUGGCACAGCAUAGAGCGAAAUGGUCCA
rnacentral:lncRNA from 10 species